UAGGAUAUUUGGGUAGGAUAA
ensembl:piRNA 21ur-3446 ncRNA